rnacentral:other from 1 species
UAUGAUAAAAAAGAAUUAUUUUUGUUCGGUGUAAAGGAUAGUAUAAGUAUCAACUUUUCGUCUUGAUGAUCACUUUGGGCAAGGAUAGUAAUACGUUGUGCGAGUACGCACUAGGAGGCAACAAAAAUGGAACAAGGUACAGUUAAAUGGUUUAAUGCAGAAAAAGGUUUCGGAUUCAUCGAGCGCGAAGGUGGAGACGACGUAUUCGUACACUUCUCUGCUAUCCAAAGUGAAGGCUUCAAAUCUUUAGACGAAGGUCAAAAAGUUACAUUUGACGUGGAGCAAGGCGCUCGUGGAGCCCAAGCUGCAAACGUUCAAAAAGCUUAAUCUUAAAUCGAUUAUAUAAAACAGGCUCUCUUUAGAGCCUGUUUUUUU